rnacentral:rRNA from 1 species
GAUGAACGCUGACAGAAUGCUUAACACAUGCAAGUCUUUGGCGAAGCUGUGCUUGCACAGCCUAGCCAAGGCGGACGGGUGAGUAACGCGUAAGGAACUUGCCCUGCAGUCAGGGAUAACAGACGGAAACGACUGAUAAGACCUGGUAAAGUCAGGCGGACUCAUGUCCAGCCUGAUGAAAAGAGAUGCUGCAGGAGAGCCUUGCGUCCUAUUAGCUUGUUGGUGGGGUAACGGCCCACCAAGACGAUGAUAGGUAGCCGGCCUGAGAGGGUGGACGGCCACAAGGGGACUGAGAUACGGCGCUUACUCCUCCGGGAGGCAGCAGUGGGGAAUAUUGGACAAUGGGGGCAACCCUGAUCCAGCAAUUCUGUGUGGACGAUGAAGGUUUUCGGAGUGUAAAGUGGUUUCAGCAGGGAAGAAAAAAAUGACGGUACCUGCAGAAGAAGCGACGGCUAAAUACGUG